rnacentral:rRNA from 1 species
CGCGCAGGCGGUCUUGUCCGUCAGGUGUGAAAGCCCGGGGCUCAACCCCGGAAGUGCACUUGAAACAGCAAGACUUGAAUACGGGAGAGGAGAGAGGAAUUCCUGGUGUAGAGGUGAAAUUCGUAGAUAUCAGGAGGAACACCGAUGGCGAAGGCAUCUCUCUGGACCGAUAUUGACGCUGAGGCGCGAAGGCGUGGGUAGCGAACAGGAUUAGAUACCCUGGUAGUCC